rnacentral:rRNA from 1 species
CGAUCAUGGCUCAGAUUGAACGCUGGCGGGAUACUUUACCAUGCAGUCAGGCAGCAGCACGGACUUCGGUCUGGUGGCGAGUGGCGAACGGGUGAGUAAUGUGUCGGAACAUUUCAGUAGCGGGGGAUAACUACGCGAAGAAGCGUAGCUAAUACCGCAUACCGCCCACUUCGGGGAAAGCGGGGGACCUUCGGGCCUCGCACUAUUAGGGCGGCCGAUAUCGGAUUAGCUAGUUGGUGGGGUAACGGCUCACCAAGGCGACGAUCCGUAGCUGGUUUGAGAGGACGACCAGCCACACUGGGACUGAGACACAGCUGAACUCCUACGGGAGGCAGCAGUGGGGGAAUUUUGGACAAUGGGGGAAACCCUGAUCCAGCCAUCCCGCGUGUGCGAUGAGGCCUUCCGGGUUGUAAGCACUUUUGGCAGGAAAGAAACGGCACGGGAUAAUACCCCGUGCAACUGACGAGCCUGCAGAAUAAGCACGGCUAACUACGUGCAGCAGCCACUGAAGUAUUACGUAGGGUGCAGCGUUAAUCGGAAUUACUGAACGUAAAGCGUGCGCGAGCGGUUCGGAAGAAAAGAUGUGAAAUCCCGAAGCUUAACUUUGGAACUGCAUUUUUUAACUACCGAGCUGAAAGUGUGUCAGAGGGGUGGAAUUCCGCGUGUAGCAGUGAAAUGCGUAGAUAUGCGGAGGAACACCGAUAGCGAAGGCCUUCUCUGGGAUAACACUGACGCUCAUGCACGAAAACGUGGGGAGCAAACAGGAUUGAUCUCCUGGUAGUCCACGCCCUAAACGAUGUCAACUAGCUGUGAGGGCCUUCGGGCCUUGGUGGCUGUGCGCGUGAAGUUGACCGCCUGGGAAGUACGGUCACCAGACCAAAACUCCGAGAUUGACGGGGACCCGCACAAGCGGUGGAUGAUGUGGAUUAAUUCGAUGCAACGCGAAAAACCUUACCUACCCUUGACAUGUCUGGAAUCCCGAAGAGAUUUGGGAGUGCUCGCAAGAGAACCGGAACACAGGUGCUGCAUGGCUGUCGUCAGCUCGUGUCGUGAGAUGUUGGGUUGAUCCUGGCGAGCGCAACCCUUGUCAUUCGUUGCUACGAGCCUCUAAUGAGACCGCAGGUGACAAACCGGAGGAAGGUGAGGAUGACGUCAAGUCCUCAUGGCCCUUAUGGGUGGGGAUUCACGUCAUACAAUGGUCGGGACAGAGGUCGCCAACCCGCGAGGAGCCAAUCCACGAGAAACCGAUCGUAGUCCGGAUCGCAGUCUGCAACUCUGACCGCGUGAAGUCGGAAUCAUGGCCAUCGCGGAUCAGCAUGUCGCGGUAGAUACGUUCGGGUCUUGUACCCACCGCCCGUCACACCAUCAAAUUGGGUUUACCAGAAGUAGUUAGCCCUAACCGUAAGGAGGCGAUUCUACAGUAGGAUUCAUGGCUGGGGUGAAGUCGUAACAAGGUAGCUCACUGUUCACUGAUGCUCUGAACAAC